GACGAACGCUGGCGGCGUGGAUUAGGCAUGCAAGUCGAACGACGAAUAGCCUUCGGGCUAUUACGGAGUGGCGAACGGGUGAGUAACACGUGAACAAUCUGUCCCUUCAUUCCGAAUAAUUGGCCGAAAGGCCUUGUAAUGCGGGCGAGGGUCGCGCCGGGGCAUCCCGGUGCGAAGGAAGGCGCAAGCCGUGCAGGGAGGAGUUCGCGGCCUAUCAGUUAGUUGGUGGGGUAAUGGCCACCAAGACGACGACGGGUAGCUGGUCUGAGAGGAUGGUCAGCCACAUUGGAACUGAGAUACUGUCCAGACUCCUACGGGAGGCUGCAGUCGAGAAUCUUGCGCAAUGGCCUAACGGCUGACGCAGCGACGCCGCGUGUGGGAUGAAGCUCUUCGGAGUGUAAACCACUGUUGCCCGGGACG
rnacentral:rRNA from 1 species